rnacentral:rRNA from 1 species
UGGGGGAUAUUGCACAAUGGGGGAAACCCUGAUGCAGCAACGCCGCGUGAGGGAAGAAGGUUUUCGGAUUGUAAACCUCUGUUCUUAGUGACGAUAAUGACGGUAGCUAAGGAGAAAGCUCCGGCUAACUACGUGCC